rnacentral:rRNA from 1 species
AGUGGCGAACGGGUGAGUAACACGUGGGUAACCUGCCCAUCAGAGGGGGAUAACAUCCGGAAACGGAUGCUAAAACCGCAUAGGUCUUCGAGCCGCAUGGCUUGAAGAGGAAAAGAGGCGCAAGCUUCUGCUGAUGGAUGGACCCGCGGUGCAUUAGCUAGUUGGUGAGGUAACGGCUCACCAAGGCCGUGAUGCAUAGCCGACCUGAGAGGGUGAUCGGCCACAUUGGGACUGAGACACGGCCCAA